GCUAUAUUGGAUGGAGCCAGUGGCCACACCCAUGGAAGGUUAGCUGUAAGUCUGGUCCCACCAAAAUGCUCAGUAGACAGUAUCCUUUCUUCUGGGCUGAGCCACACCCCAGCCCGGUUAGCACUUUGAUUGACAUUUGGAAGUUCUGACCCAGACCGGUCACGUGUCUACUCUCACUAGCUACAUCCUCCCCAUAGCAACCAAGCUCAGCACCUCCGCCCAUCCCUCGCCAGCCACGCCGCCAUCAUCCAAGCCGUUAGUGGUAACAGGGAGAGGAGUAUGAGACCUGUUAGUCAGAGAGAAAUCCACAGCCAUUCAUUUCUGCCGGAAGGAACAGACCAGAAAGGUAGAAGGGUCUGUGUGCAGAACACCCGAGAUCAGAGAAUGGGCGUACCACCGAGUCCCCCGAGGCCCGCCCUCAGCGUGUCUUAUUCCAUUUUGAAGUCCCUGCCAUGCGGCAACACCUCGGUCACCUCACCACGGGCAUCAAGGGAAGUAGAAGGGUCCCGUUCCGCCAGCAGGGAGCGGCAGAGUUGCACUCAGUCAAGCCAUACCUUUCUCAUCCUCCAACGUCCCAGUGGGGGUCAGCCUGACUAGGAAGUCACUUCCUCCCUCGUGCCAGAGCUGGCCUCUCUUGACUGCCUAUUGUCUAAUUCUUCCUGGACACAGCUUCUCUCUGAUGACUACAAAGUUGUAAAUGUCUGAGGUGUGGUUGCAU
rnacentral:lncRNA from 1 species